GUGGGGAAUAUUGGACAAUGGGCGCAAGCCUGAUCCAGCCAUGCCGCGUGAGUGAUGAAGGCCUUAGGGUUGUAAAGCUCUUUCAGUGGGGAAGAUAAUGACGGUACCCACAGAAGAAGCCCCGGCUAACUUCGUGCCAGCAGCCGCGGUAAUACGAAGGGGGCUAGCGUUGUUCGGAUUUACUGGGCGUAAAGCGCACGUAGGCGGAUCGUUAAGUCGGGGGUGAAAUCCUGGAGCUCAACUCCAGAACUGCCUUCGAUACUGGCGAUCUUGAGUCCGGAAGAGGUGAGUGGAACUCCUAGUGUAGAGGUGGAAUUCGUAGAUAUUAGGAAGAACACCAGUGGCGAAGGCGGCUCACUGGUCCGGUACUGACGCUGAGGUGCGAAAGCGUGGGGAGCAAACAGGAUUAGAAACCCCAGUAGUCC
rnacentral:rRNA from 1 species